UACAGAGGUCCCAAGCGUUUGUUCGGAUUCACUGGGCGUAAAGGGUGCGUAGGUGGCCAGGUAAGUUCGGUGUGAAAGCUCGGAGCUUAACUCCGAAAUGUCAUUGAAUACUAUCUGGCUAGAGGGUCGGAGGGGAGACUGGAAUUCUCGGUGUAGCAGUGAAAUGCGUAGAUAUCGAGAGGAACACCAGUGGCGAAGGCGAGUCUCUGGACGACACCUGACACUGAGGCACGAAAGCUAGGGGAGCAAACCAGG
rnacentral:rRNA from 1 species